UCUCACCCUCACGCGACGGUACACAAAAUGGCGGCCGACGGCCGCUUGCCGCCGCCUCAUUAGGCCUAAAGGCAAGCAAGUUUUUAUUUAAUAUUUUGUGAUGUUAAAUCAUUUAAAACGAAUAAAAUUAAUUUAACUGUGUUAUACCUAUGUCGUGAAAUUUAGUGCUAGUGGCCAGUGGGUAUAGGGGUGGCGAAGGGCACCACCCCAAUUUUUUACGAUUUUGACUCCACCCCUAACUAACUUCCCUGCCCGUUUAAUCGACGGUCGACCAUCGAAUAACACAGUCAUUUGCUUUCAAUGCUUGGAUAAUGAUAUCAGUUCAUCGAGCAACAUUUUGCAAAUAAGAGAGGUUCUACAACGAAAAUUUAGCUAAAACAAACAGGAGCCCUGUGUAAACUAUCAAAAAACAUUACGGGGUGCAAAUAACAACGAUCAUGGCGUAUAUAAUGAAAUUUUGCAUCGGGAUUAUUCGGGCGGCGCGCGCAGGGCGGCAAUCGAUGUUGAGACGGGACGCGAGCCCCGAGGCCAGACCGACAGACGCCCUGAGACGCCGUGCCUGGCCACACGUCCUCGCGCGGCCGCCUCCCAACCUCAAUGUUUACUUCGCGAACAGCUGACAGACCGGUAGUGGAAGCAUGAAGUUUUUAUUGGUGGAGAACGAAGAUAGAAGAGAAGAGUACGCGUCGCCUUCUGUACGUAUACUGAAUGUAUCCUGAGUGCCUCAUUCUUUCCGGUAUACCUUCAGUAUACGUAACAGAAGAUGACACUCGUCACCGCAGAAGAUUGCUGGUUUUUCUUGCCGAAGAAUUCUUCACAGUUCUAAAUUAUUAAUCAACAAUUCAUUUAAGCUAGUUUUUUUUAUAUAAAGUGAACAUUUUCAUUUUACAAUAAAAUAAAUACAUACAAUUGUAAUUUUUUUCAGGUUUCAGUAAAAUUUUUACAUCGAAAUUGUCGCAUUAUUAACUAUGUCUAUGAAUACAUUUCUUAUACAUUUAUUCCAUAUUUUUAAAUCAGAUAUAAAGUUUUAAUGUAAUUGUUAUUAAAAUUAUGUAAUCGUUGUAAAUUUUAUGUCUAAGCUGUUAAUUAUUAUAAACAUGUAAUCACGAAUCUACCUUGUUACAAACACAAUGACUUAUCGCAUACAAUCUGUAUUUAUUACAUAGUUUCCUAAUUGUUUUGCAUAAAAUACAAUGUAAUUUUAGUACUUGUUAUAAACAUUAUAU